rnacentral:rRNA from 1 species
UAACGACUCUCGGCAACGGAUAUCUCGGCUCUCGCAUCGAUGAAGAACGCAGCAAAAUGCGAUACUUGGUGUGAAUUGCAGAAUCCCGUGAAUCAUCGAGUUUUUGAACGCAAGUUGCGCCUGAAGCCUUCCGGCCGAGGGCACGUCUGCCUGGGUGUCACGC